GCUUGGGAACUUGCCUUUGCGAGGGGGAUAACAGUUGGAAACGACUGCUAAUACCGCAUAAUGUCUUCGGACCAAACGGGGCUUCGGCUCCGGCGCAAAGAGAGGCCCAAGUGAGAUUAGCUAGUUGGUAAGGUAACGGCUUACCAAGGCGACGAUCUCUAGCUGUUCUGAGAGGAAGAUCAGCCACACUGGGACUGAGACACGGCCCAGACUCCUACGGGAGGCAGCAGUGGGGAAUAUUGCACAAUGGGGGAAACCCUGAUGCAGCCAUGCCGCGUGUGUGAAGAAGGCCUUCGGGUUGUAAAGCACUUUCAGUUGUGAGGAAAAGUUAGUAGUUAAUACCUGCUAGCCGUGACGUUAACAACAGAAGAAGCACCGGCUAACUCCGUGCCAGCAGCCGCGGUAAUACGGAGGGUGCGAGCGUUAAUCGGAAUUACUGGGCGUAAAGCGCACGCAGGCGGUUUGUUAAGCUAGAUGUGAAAGCCCCGGGCUCAACCUGGGAUGGUCAUUUAGAACUGGCAGACUAGAGUCUUGGAGAGGGGAGUGGAAUUCCAGGUGUAGCGGUGAAAUGCGUAGAUAUCUGGAGGAACAUCAGUGGCGAAGGCGACUCCCUGGCCAAAGACUGACGCUCAUGUGCGAAAGUGUGGGUAGCGAACAGGGAUUAGAUACCCCUGGUAGUCCACACCGUAAACGCUGUCUACUAGCUGUGUGUGUCUUUUAAGGCGUGCGUAGCGAAGCUAACGC
rnacentral:rRNA from 1 species